UACGUAGGGUGCAAGCGUUGUCCGGAAUUAUUGGGCGUAAAGAGCUCGUAGGCGGUCUGUCACGUCGGCUGUGAAAUCCCGAGGCUCAACCUCGGGUCGGCAGUCGAUACGGGCAAACUAGAGUAUUGCAGGGGAGACUGGAAUUCCUGGUGUAGCGGUGAAAUGCGCAGAUAUCAGGAGGAACACCGGUGGCGAAGGCGGGUCUCUGGGCAAUAACUGACGCUGAGGAGCGAAAGCGUGGGGAGCGAACAGG
rnacentral:rRNA from 1 species